rnacentral:rRNA from 1 species
AUGGUGGAAGGCUCUGCGAGUGACAUCAUGAGCUUGAAGUUCCUCCUGCUCUGUUUUUAGCAGAUGUCUGGCCUCAGGAUCAACUACAAUAAGAAUGCGGUGAUGGUCUUGGGAUAUUCCCAAGACGAACGACAAAGCAUCGCAGACCAUCUUAACUGUUAGCUCGGGAGCUUCCGCACGACUUAUUUGGGGAUGCCCAUUAGUGACACAAGGCUCACGGUGGCCGAGCUGCACCCUACGGUGGGCAAGCUCCAGCAUCGCAUUGAACCUUGGCAGGGGCGAUGGCUCUCUAAAACAGCCCGGACUAUGCUCAUUAACUCGUCCCUAUCCAGCCUGCUCCUAUUCAUUAUGAGCUUCUACAGCGUGCCUGAGACACUGCACCAUGAGAUUGCCAGAGUUUAGAGGUGCUUCUUCUAGGUUGGCAAGGGCGAUAAGCAGAAGUACCACAUGGUUCGGUGGACGGAGAUCUGUAAACCUCGCGAAAAGGGCAGACUCGGGAUCAUGUCCUCCAAACGCAUGAACAUUUCCCUCCUGACUCAAUGGCUUUGGCGGAUUGCAAAUGGAGAGGGUGGCCUAUGGCUUCGCAUCAUCCAACAAAAAUACCUCCGUGGCCAGCCACUCACCUUCUGCCAGCGGUCCGGUGGCUCCCAGUUCUGGCAAUCCAUCAUUCAGCUCCUCCCAGUCCUCUGCUUCGGGACCUUGAGGCGGUUGGAUCUGGCACUGCCACGCUCUUCUAGUUCGAUAGACGGGCUGGGGAUGUCCCCUUCGCGGAUCGGUUUCCUAACCUGUUCACCAUUGCGGUAG